AUUGAACGCUGGCGGCAGGCCUAAUACAUGCAAGUCGAGCGGACGAAGGGAGCUUGCUCCUCGAUUCCGCGGCGGACGGGCGAGUAAUGCCUAGGAAUCUGACUGACAUAGGGGGAUAACGUCCCGUAACGGGCGCUAAUAUCGCAUACGUCCUUAUGUUGAACCGGGGGGUUCUUUGGUCCAAGCCGUUUUUGCUGACCCUAGUACGGAUUAGCUAGUUGGUGUGGUAAGGGCCUACCAAGGCGACGAUCCGUAACCGGUCUGAGAGGGUGAUCAGUCACACUGGAACUGAGACACGGUCCAGACUCCUACGGGAGGCAGCAGUGGGGAAUCUUCGGCAAUGGGCGAAAGCCUGACGCAGCAAUGCCGCGUGUGUGAAGAAGGUCUUCGGAUUGUAAAGCUCUUUUAGUUGGGAGGAAGGACAGUGAGUGAAUCCCUGGAUGUCUUGACGUUACCAAAAGAGUAAGCCCCGGCUAACUUCGUG
rnacentral:rRNA from 1 species